rnacentral:tRNA from 1 species
GUGCCAGUAGUAUAAUAAAGUAUGUCGUCUUUCCAAGUCGAUGGUCUAAAUAAAUGUAGUUGACACA